CCCUCGAUAACGACCGAGUCGUAGUUCACUGAGCUCCUGAAUCUGAAUCGGAUGGCCAUAGUCGAGUUGAAGCGGCGAGUGAAAACAUAAAACUCGGUUCGCUAAACGGAAAGAGAAAUUUAUCAGGGAAUUGAGAGGUUCUUUUUUUGGGGGAUUUCUUUCCGGAAUGCGAUAUAUACAAAAAGAGAAAUUAAAACAAAGAUUGUACGGAAUGAUACGAAGCCUA
rnacentral:misc_RNA from 1 species